UAGGGAAUCUUCCACAAUGGGCGCAAGCCUGAUGGAGCAACGCCGCGUGAGUGAAGAAGGGUUUCGGCUCGUAAAGCUCUGUUGUUAAAGAAGAACGUGGGUAAGAGUAACUGUUUACCCAGUGACGGUAUUUAACCAGAAAGCCACGGCUAACUACGUGCCAG
rnacentral:rRNA from 1 species